rnacentral:rRNA from 1 species
GAUGAACGCUGGCGGCGUGCCUAAUACAUGCAAGUCGAGCGAACAGACGAGGAGCUUGCUCCUCUGACGUUAGCGGCGGACGGGUGAGUAACGCGUGGAUAACCUACCUAUAAGACUGGGAUAACUUCGGGAAACCGGAGCUAAUACCGGAUAAUAUAUUGAACCGCAUGGUUCAAUAGUGAAAGACGGUUUUGCUGUCACUUAUAGAGGGAUCCGCGCCGCAUUAGCUAGUUGGUAAGGUAACGGCUUACCAAGGCAACGAUGCGUAGCCGACCUGAGAGGGUGAUCGGCCACACUGGAACUGAGACACGGUCCAGACUCCUACGGGAGGCAGCAGUAGGGAAUCUUCCGCAAUGGGCGAAAGCCUGACGGAGCAACGCCGCGUGAGUGAUGAAGGUCUUCGGAUCGUAAAACUCUGUUAUUAGGGAAGAACAAAUGUGUAAGUAACUAUGCACGUCUUGACGGUACCUAAUCAGAAAGCCACGGCUAACUACGUG